rnacentral:rRNA from 1 species
UACGAAGGGGGCUAGCGUUGCUCGGAAUCACUGGGCGUAAAGGGUGCGUAGGCGGGUCUUUAAGUCAGGGGUGAAAUCCUGGAGCUCAACUCCAGAACUGCCUUUGAUACUGAGGAUCUUGAGUUCGGGAGAGGUGAGUGGAACUGCGAGUGUAGAGGUGAAAUUCGUAGAUAUUCGGAAGAACACCAGUGGCGAAGGCGACUCACUGGACACGUAUUGACGCUGAGGUGCGAAAGCGUGGGGAGCAAACAGG